ACGUUUCAGUCCUUUCCGCGUCGUAUAUGGUGUCAUUCCGCGUGGUCCCCUGGCUCUAGGCGUGGCUCCGGAUAUGUCCCGGGAUCAUGGUCAAGCUUUGGAUUUUGUGGCUACUGUAUCGUCUAUACAUGCUCAAGUCCACGAAAAUCUACAGCUCUCUUCGGCAAAAUAUAAAGCCAGUGCUGAUCGCCAUAAACGAGAUGUGCAGUUCAAGGUUGGAGAUCGUGUGUGGGCAGUCCUCACGCGUGAGCGUUUUGCGGCUGGAGAGUAUAACAAGUUGAAAUCACGGAAGAUAGGUCCUUUGGAAGUAGUCGAGAAGAUUAAUGCUAAUGCUUAUCGUCUUCUAUUGCCCCCGGACGCAAGGUUCUCUGACGUUUUUAACGUUAAACAUCUCAUCCCAUUUGUUGCUCAAGACGACCCUGAAGAUCCGAGGUCGGAUCUUUCCUCACCCCGGGUGACCUGAUGCAGCGUGGAUCUUACUUUCCUUUUCGGUUUUGGCUUUCUUUUCCUUUUCCGUUUUAACCUUAAGAUAAACGUUAGUUUUCCUUUUUAUGUUAGGUCUUAAACCCUAAAGACUUAGGACUUUACAUUAGCUAUAUAUAGUCAUCUCUUGGCUUUGUAAGAGGGACACAUUAUUAUUGAUUUAUAAAAACAGAGCUUUGGCUUUAAACUCUUGAUUACGGCUAGUUCAUUGGUUGAACUCAACGGAUUCAAGUUCAUAGGUACUUUUGGGGAUUCUCAGACUAAACAAUCGUUCCUAUUCUAUCGGUUACUCUAUCAACUACAUAGCCUGUUGGUUACAAUGGCUUGGAUUUAGAAUGUACACAAGUAAUUACACAACCCAACCAACAAAUCAUGUAUUAUUAAUACUUUUAAUCCUCUUAACCUGACAGAGAGAAGGGAUAAAGAGGGAUAAAUAAUUCACAUUACCCAAUAAAGAUUAAGACUCACAAAAUCUCAUUUACAAAAGAAAAUAGAAAUGAGAACAAAAAUGAAUGAUGUGAUUUAAACAUGAAAAUGUAAUGAGUAGGUCCAAACAUUUUGUAGUGACGCCUCGUGGCCGGCGCACCAAUUCACCGAGACAACUUAAACAUUUUACUUAACAUGCUUACUUUGAUAGUCGAUUCCACAAUUGAGUUCAUUUAAAAGAAGAAAAUGGUGCAAUACUUUCCAUUGACUUGAGAAAACUUCAGGAAACUUUAAUUUGACCCUAAAGAAAAUUAAUAACGCUUUAAUGUUCGUUUUUUUUUUUCUUUUUUUUGAGAAGGGCAUAAUUUGUAAUGUUCGUUCUUUGUUGAUAGAGUAAUCGGUAAAUUGUAGGUAAUACGCUGUUUACAGUUGAGUUAAUAGUAUUGAUAUCAUUUGAUGUGGUUGUUUGUCGCUGUCGUCAAGAUAUGAAAAUAAUGUAUAUUGUUUGAUUUUUAAGUAGUUGUACUCGUGAUUUUACUAUUCCAAUAGUUUUUAAUUUUUUUGUCAAAAUAAUUUUGUUUAAAGAAGACUAUAUAACAGCUUUGUGUUCAGUUUAUGUUAAUUUGAUUCGUUAAUCUGGACAAAGCUGGAUAUAUUUUUCACAAAAUAAUCGACCACACAAAUUUGGUAAUUUUUUUUUCACUUGAUUGGGCUAAUGAUAAAUUGUAUGUAGAAAUCACCUGUAAUAUUCAUCACAAGAGACUUUUUUUGAGCAACCAUCACAAGAGACUAUUUGAACAAUCAUGCCAAAAGACAUACAUAUUAUCCGAAAAUUGAUUUGAAAAUGUGCAUUAGAAUCUUCUUAAUCUCAUAUCUGUUACCUGCAAUCGAAAAAUGAAAUCGUGUUUCGAUAAAGCAAACCCGCAAAAUUUUCCUUUAUCAUGGACCAUUUAUUCAUCUAGAGAUUUGUUCGUAAACAUAAUCAAGAGAAAAAAAUUUCCGGUCGACAAUGUGAGGUAAUAAGUUUUCAUGUGAAAGGACAUCACAAGGAGGGACUGUGUUCAACAGGCUACUGGAUAAUUUCUAAUUUUAUAUGACAGAAAGAAAAAAAAAAUUUCAUGUUUAUUAUUUGGUAGCUUUCAAAGUUUCAGUAUAUACCCAUUUAGAGAGACACUAAGAAGAGCCAGUGACCCUACGGUUCAAUUUGAUUAUUAAAGUGUACCAUUUUGCAAUAAUAUUAUGACGACUGUCUCCACUUUCCCCAUUUCACUACAAAGCAGCCUCGCAUUUACAUAUGUUUGAUUGGACUAAAGAAGAUAAACUUGUUUUAUAUUUCCCUCUUCAUGCUAAAAACUUGUGUUGUAUGUUGAAUCAAACACUGUCGAUCCAUCUUCGUUGUAUGCCUCAAAUAUUCCUCUAGAAGAUGACACUUACCCUAAAAAACAAUCUCUAAAAAAUUUCUGUAUAUGUUUUUUCUCUGUUUAGAAAAAACUGAUAUCAAUUAUAAGUAUUUAAGUAUAGCAUAGUUUUCCCUUUGUUUUUUUGUAGCAUAGUUUCACGAAUACUCUAAUUUUUAGAAAUAAUUUCAUAAGUUGCACACAAAAUCGAAAUAAUUUUGUAUUGAUAUUAUAAUUUACAUAAAUAUUACGAAAAUUAUAAAAUAUGUUUAUACAAAAAAAAUCGAUAUGAACCAGUUUAGCAGGUCCUACAAUCAAACAUAUACUAUAUAAGAUCUAACAAAACAAAUGAAUAUUUGUAAAUAGUACAACUGAUGCUCAUUUCUAUUUGUAAGAAAAUAAUUUAGAAACAAAACAGCAAUCAUAUAUAAGUAAUAAGUGAUACAUUUAUAAACCUAUCACAGUGCAAACAGAUCACGCAUAAACUUAAUAUUUUCAUCACGUGCAAACAUAUUACAUUCAAUAUGCAUUCUAGGUUUUACUGUUAUUCCGAAGUCCACCUUUAUAUAUUUUAAAACUAAUUUUUCAUUUACUAAGUUAUCUUAUCUACAGAUCACAUACAUGAUGUGGUUGUAAGACAUACGUACUUUCAAAUUCAACAGGACGCAAAAAAAAUUCUGAUUUUUAAAUUCAUUUUUAUGAACCUUUUAUUUAUUCAUUCUUCUUUACUCUAUUAAAUUGUGAGUACAUUUGAAAGUGUUACGUGCUUUAAAGAAAACCCGUGCUUGACAAAAAAAACCCGUGCUUACGUACGGCACCUCAUCUAGUUGAUGAUUAACUUAUUGAUUAACUAAUUAAGCGUCUUCUGAAUUGGGUUAAGCAAUUAAGAUAUUCGAGGUAGCUAGUGAUCCACUCACACUUCCGCCACUAAAUAUUGUAAUUAAGAUCUUGGGGGUGUAACUUAUCUAAUUAAAUACGUAAACGAUUUUGCCAGUUCUUAGCUGUGUUCUCGGUCGACACGUGUCAACCUGACAAAAUUUAAUUAAAUAUUCAGGAUAUUUUAAAACAAAAUUCAAUUAGCCCAUUCUCGACAAUUUAUAUGCAGAUAGUUUAAUUAAUUGAAAUAUGAUAAUAGGUCACGGUCAGUUCAGGUGAGUGUUACCUAACCUAGUAUUAAGAUGCCGUUUGUCUUAUUUUGUAACUAAAAGACGCGCCAUAAUACCGUAAUGUGUCUCUAUCCGUCCGUAUUUUAAUAUAAUAUAGGACUUAGGCUUUUGCUUUUCUUUUUUCAGAUAUAUACUAAACAGAGUCUGAAUGAGUUCUUUGCUUUAAGCCUUUAAUAAUAAUCUCCAUUCGAUAUUUAAUCAAAAAGAAAAGAAGACGACAAAUUGAUAACAAAGUUCACUGGAAACAUUGAAUUAUGUUUAAAACCCAAUAUUUCUACCACUGAAAAACUAAGAAAAUCCCGUUAAAAAAAACUAAGAAAUUAUAAAAAGUCUCUUACAUGCAAAUAAAUCUUUUACCACCAGGUAUUAAUUCGAAUCUAAUAAUAUACGUAUGUAAAUAUUAUAGAAAACAGAUGACUAAUAUAGCUUUCGAUCUAACUAUUAAAAAAUUCUAUAAUUAUAUUCUAGUUAAAAUAUUUUAGUCAAUUAACAUGAUGUCUAUAUAUAGAACAAUAUACUCAAAUUUAUUUUGGUUUUAUAAAUUAAUACGAUAUUAUGAAAAAGAGUUUGCAAAAAUUAAGAGCCAAAUACAUAUAUAUAUAUAUAUAUAUAUAUAUAUAUUAAAGAUAUGUUCAUUCUACUUACAAGGUUUUUCUUAUUGUUUUUUUUUUGGUUUUCGUAUUGUUUCUUAUAGCAUCGUAUGGCAUCGUAUGGCAUAGUUUUGUACUUUCGAUAAAUUUUUAUCACUAAUUGGAGUCGCUGUUUAGCGAGAAGAGGCAGUGUAGUCUGUAGAGAGUAGUCGAAUUUGACUUGAAGAGGCAGAUUAUCCGAAGCAUUCACCAUAGCAUCAAACCACAAAUUUAAUAUAUUAAAUUAAAACAACUUUCAGUUUUACAAAAAGAUUUAGUAUUAUUAUUUUCGACGAAGGAGAGCCACAAAAUCAUCUUUGAUGAGCCCCAGCACGAAGAAGCCAAUUGGUAAGCGACAAUAAAAUGUAUACAAUAUUGUUAAAAAUAAGUGACCUUGGAGGCAAAACAAACGCAGACAUGGUUUCAUAUAUAUUUAAUUAAUCGAGAUAAAUCAUUGGCACCUUUGAACCUAACUACAGCGAACUGGCGUCAGCAGAUGUCAAUUUCAAAACGUUGGAAUUUCCAUUUUGAUUUGGACGACUUAAUUAUUAAGUAUUUUUCAUAAACAGUUUUGGGAGAAGUGGAUUAGAUCCAAAACGCUUUACUCAUCCCACUAGAUCUAGGGUUUAAUAAUAGUUCAUAACGCCUCUUUCUAAUAGGAGGAAUAAUGGACUUAUCUAUGCCUAUUAAUUCUAGAAGUAUCAAGGAAAUUGUAAAAUCAUUCGAUUCACAUACUAGUAUACAAACUCUCAAAAUUGAUAUUUGCCUCAAUACAUUUAUGCUAUUAAGUUCUUUGUUUUUUAAAAUUGAUUCGCAUUCGUUCGCAACAAUGCCAUAGAACAACUCAAAUGGUAAAUUUUUUUCAUGAAAUUCUGAAAUUACAUAUUGGUUUAUAUAUAUAAGAAUACAAUAAAAUUCUUUAAAACCCAACCAAUAAUAUUUCAUUUAAUAUAUUAUUGGUAUAGUUUCCAAAAAAUUUAAUACUAUUAAUUAAAUUAUUAUUAUUAUUAUAUAUGCAUACACGAUAUGUAACUUGAGAAUUCCAUAGUAAAAAACUAUUAUUGGAGUUGCUCUUAGAAGUUUAAUUGCAUAACCAAGCUGGAUCGGUUCGCAUAUUGUGGUCUAUAUUGGUACCUUGAAUUUUUCAAGUCACAUUCGUAACCAGAGGUAAAAAUCCUAUAAUGCCGUCUGAAGUAUGAUCUAAUAAUUUUUUUUUUUAAAAAAGAAUAUGAUUUAUUAUAUUAUCAAUACUAUUAAAAGAGAAAUAGCUUUAAUAAAUUUACUUAAAAAAGUUGUUUGGACCAUUUCAUUAACUAAUAAUACUUUGGUCUUACUUCGAUUCGGACAAACAAUAUGUUACCUUAAAUUUCUCUAACAAUCAUUUAGUCAAAAAUUUUAUUUAUUGGAUCCAUAUCUUUUUGUAAACGAAAAGAUUAUACCAUAUAUAUACUACCACAUAAAUUUGAUUCACGAAAAUGUAAUAUCACGUACACUUUAUUAUACUCUUCUUUAAAUGUCUCACUAACUUCAUAAUUAAGAUAAGUUUAAAAAUUAUAUAUUAUGUUAAUUUUAUUUUAUUGAUAAAUAACAAUUUAGUAUUUAAGAUAAAUUUAAAAUUAUCAAAAACCCAACAAAUCUUUUUUUACUGCUCAACAAAAAACCUAUAAAUCUAUACUAUUAAAUUAACCAAAAACCUCUCAAAUAAAUCUUAAGUUUCACCAACUAAACAAAUGUAACUUUUAUAGAAUGCACAAAAAUAUAAUGAAAUGUUAGAUUUGGGCAUUCUGGUCUUCGGAUCAAAUAUAAAUCAGUUUCUUUCAGAUCCAAGUUCUUUAGGUCUUGGGCAUUUAUAUCCAACUAGGUAUUUGAAUUUGUUUUUUGUUUAGAUCGGUUCUUUUUAGUUUCAGGUCAAUUUGAGUUAAUAAUUCAAGUAUCUGUAAAUUUACUAUGUAAUUUGGCUUCAUAAUGAAUCCAGCUCGGUUCGAGUAUUUAUGACAAAAAGAUCUAAAGAAUCCGAAAAGCCAAAAAAUCAAAACACGAAAAUACUCAAAAUCAAAAAAAAUACCACAAUAACUAAAUAUCUAAAAGACCAAAAUUUUACCCGAGAACCAAAAAUAUCCAAUAUUUUAAAUAAAUUUUUAAAUUUUGAAGUUUUACCCAAAACCUGAAACUAUAGCAGAAAAUGUGAAUCCAAAUUUUACAAUAAUAUUUUUAUACUGAAAACAUUUAUGAAUUACUCAAAUAUACAUAAUAUGAACAAAACAUUCUGGGUAAUUUGGAUACCCGGAGUCCAACAGAGACCCGCAGGUCCAAAAAAAUCUAAUAGAUACUUUUUUCCCAAUCCCGAACCUUGACAUGUAUUUCGUAUUGGUUUGGUUCGUUUAUCAAAUUUGGGUAAAAUGUUCAUACUUAAGAAAGAGUUACAUAAGAGUGUAUAUAAAAAAUCUCGGAUAAAAUUAUACAUAAGUUAUAUAAUUUUAAACAAAUUUUUGUAUUCGAUAUAAUACGAUUUUAUAACAUAAUAAUACACAAUAUACUCAAAAUACUAUCUCAUAUCCAACUUCGUAUAUACCUAUAAAAUCUGCGAUUUCGAAACGCGGAUCAAAAUCUAGUUUUCCGGCAAAUCAACUUCUCCACAGUAAGAGCCCGAAUCAAUUCUAGAUAAUAUUGUGCUCAAGUCAAAUCAUGCCUCUCUAUUUUUAGAUGAAGACAUACAUAUCCAUUCAUAUUAUAUGUUUACACAUUCGUACGAACAUAUCUUGAUUUUUCUUUAUAUUUUGGAUUCCCUCUAUGAAACAAACAAACUUUAUAAUGUUCUUUUUCCAGCAUAAUUCAACUUUGGGCGGGGGGUUAAAAGAACUUUAUAUUGUUCUUUACACAUGCAAUCUAAUUCUAGAUAUAUCUUCUUAUUCAAUCAGUGAGAUAUGUGGCUGAUCUUUUUAGGUGGUUUUAAAAUUCCUCUAGGCCGGUCAGAAUUCACAUCCGCCACAAAAGAAAAUGGAUGUGCAUAUCUUUUAGAAAGAAAUUGUAUAUGUCGCUGGUCCACUUAAUCCAUCUACAUUUUCUGUUUGUUUAUAAAGAUUAUAGAUUACAGAGCAUAAGAAAGAAUAAUACAAUAGUAAAGGCCAUUUUCUGAUUUGUAGCCCAAAUACGUACAAGCAAAAGAGAACUAAAAUGAACCAAGCCCAUAUAUGAAAACUGUAUCAAUUUACGCACAGAAUGUCUCUCACAGACCAAAAAAAAAAAGAAGAAGAAAACAAUGAAUCUACUUACUCUUGAGUCUUGAGCUUCCACCAAGAGAGAAAGAUAGAGAAAUAGAUGGAAUAGGUUUCGAGAGUCGCCAGAAGCAAGACGGCAACGCCGACCAGGAUGAUAUGUGUUAUGUGUUAGCCAGAAACUAUGGUAAAGCCUAUGAAUGCAUUCAACUCUAAAAUUAAUCAUAAUGGAAAAAAAUCAAGUGCCCCCGCUACUUAUGUUCCUACAUCCGCUACUGCAUAUAUACGUAAAGAGUAUACAUCUUUUGUAUCCCUUAUUAAGUUCCUAGCUAUAGAAUAAAAUAAGUGAAGUUCAUGGAUUAAUGCAUAUAAAUGACAUAAUGCUUAUGUAGACUUAAUAUUAUAUAUAGACUAACCCCAUGAAAUUGACAUUGAGAUGGUGACUUAAUUAGUUCGAUGAAGAUGAUGAACAUGUAACCCAAAUCAGCGGCAUUGCCGUGAGAAUACACACCGGUGAGUUUAGCCGUUGGAUUCUUUACAUACAACCCCACGAUCUCAUUCCCUCUUCUAGUCAUUAUCUUCACCACUUCAAUUUCCUCGUCUAUGACGACGCAUCAUGUCCGCCGAUAUCCUCAUCUUCCCCGUCGAUUCAUCCGUCACCACCGUGUACGUCGGCGGAUUAGGUGGGAAGAAUGCUAACUUCGCCGUCAUCGUCGACGUCUCUGUUCCCAUCUUCACUAAAGAAUAUUUUGUCUUUUUUUUACGCUUAAGGCGAGAAGAAUAUAGCCUAUGCAAUAUAUCAUGGGUGCAUAAUAAUCUAUUUAUACUUUUUUGUAAAAACUAAUAAUCUAUUUAUAAUUUUAUAUUGUCUAGUUGUUUAUUUAUUUCCACGAUGUUAGAAAUGGAUGAUGGAAAAAGUUUUACAUAUUUUCUAUAUAGACUAGUGUUAUAAAAAUCGGUUUAGGCGGCACCUAGAUAUUCAACUAAACAAUAAUCUUUUACAAGACGCUUAACCACCGUCUACCGAUUUUUAUAACAUUGAUCUAAACAUACUCUAUAAGGCUAAAAGGCUUAACGUGAUAUAAUAUUUCCAUAAUUAUGCACAAAUUAUUUGUUAACAUAAUUGUGCAAUACACCUUUUUUCUUGUGAAAUAUACUUCUCCACACACUGAUCAUUAUUUUAGUUUCCUAAACAGAGUCAGACCUGAAAUUUUCGGGACCAUGUUUGAAAUAAAAAAUAUUUACAAAAUGAUCUAUUUUCUAAAUUUCAAUAAAAUAAUCUUAUUUUAAAUAAUUAACUUAUAAAUCUUGAAGGUUAGAAUAAAAAACUUAAACAGAGUUUAUAUCCUUUUAAAGUAUAAUAAAAUUAUUGCAAUAAUAAUUAUUUAUCUUAAUUUAAUUAUUAAACUUAUUCAUAAAUAAAUCAUAAUAAUAUGAAAUCCAUCUAAUUUUAAACUAAUUUCUCUACAAACAAACAUUGUUUUUUGUUCUUUCUACUUAACAUUAUACAUUUAAUAUUUUAUAGUGUAAAUAUAUUCAACUGGCUUUUAUGUUUCAAAAAACUAAAUAUAAAUUAUUUUUUGGAAGUGGAGCUCCAUAAAUUGAGGGCCCUAUUCAAAACUUUUAUUUCAUGGCGUCAGCCAAGGUUUUGUUCAUAAAUGCCACUUCCGUCUAGUAACAUAUACAGAAUUUGUCCAUCUGAUUUUAGUAAAACAGAACUACAGUAUAGAACUAACGUUUUGUUCUUGUGUUAUUUACAGAAUGUGCCACCUCUGUUAAAGGUAAACCUAGAAUCUUCGUUAAGAGUGUUUAUGUCUUUAUACGUUUAAUUCGGACAAUAUGUUUUUAGUUUGAUACUGUUCUCCUUCGUGACGGAAGUAAUUAAAAAUAAUAACUGUUUUUUUUUUUUUUUUUUUUUUGAAAAAGGAAAAUAAUAACUGUUCUCCGAUGGAAAAUGUGAGUUUGUUGAGAAGUUUCGAGUCUCCAACCUCUCUCAUGACGAUUUUAUUCAGCUCAUGGAAUGACCCAAAGUGUAGACUCCUCUCUCCGCAUGUCGCUAUCUCAAUACAUCUAUUUCCAUGUGUCUUCAUCUAAAGAAAUUAACUAUUUAGUUUAAAUUAAAACUUAGAUACUUAACUAAAAUAAUAAUAUUUGAUUUUUAAGAACCUGCUUUUUAUAGAUCAACCGUUAAGGUUGCUCUUAGUACUAGAUUAUUAGAUGUGAGUGCUAUGUUCGAGACAGUGUCUCUGGACUUGCGGGUUUAGCUUCUGAUAUCUCACUGAGUGAUUUUCAUAUUAUUCAUCACUCUUUUUUUGGGAAAAUUUUUAUGUUUAGCACUUUCAUAAUACUAUUACUCAUCUUUACCACUACUUAAAAUGAUAUUUUUAAAAAUACAUUCUUUAUUAAGCGGUAAAAAACUCUUAUACUCUUGUUAUAUAUAUAAUAAUUAUUUAAAUAAAUAAAUUAAAAAAAUUAUGUUUUCAAAUUAUACUUUUUCAAAUUCGAACUUUUUAAAUUUCUUUUUUCAACAUGUUUUAUUUUUGAAAAAUCGAAAAAUUAUGUUUAAAACUAUUUUUAAGUAUUUAUUUAUAUAUUUAUCAGAAUCCUAAAUUUCACAUUCUAAAAUUUUUAUCUCACUCCUCAACUCUAAAUCUUAAGUGUAGAUUAGUUAACCCUAUAAAUAUGAAUAUCUUUUAUCCUUCAUUAAAAAUAAAAAUAAAAAUGGUUAAUGUAAACAUUAAAAGUGGUACCAUGAAAAUAAUAUUUGGGGUAAUUUUCCUUUUAUUUACAGGAGAGCAUAAUAAGUAUUUGAAUAUCUGGACAGUCUGGUGUUUUGGAUCAUCACGAUUUUAUUUCAACUUUACACGAACUUUCUAUGUUUAUUUCGAUUAUCUAAACUAUUAAAACAGAAGUACAAAUAGUACUUAACCCUUAAUUUUCCUCAAAAAUUACAAAGGAAUGCCAUUGAGUUAAUAACUUAAAAUAAACCUAAAUUACCUUUAUUCUCUAAUUCGAUAGAGUUUUAGCCGCAUAGUUCUCUAACUAAACGCUUUUGUAUUCUUCUUCUUCUUCUCAUCACGCUGGUAAUGGGCGACGACCCUAAGGAGUCAAUCCUUCGGGAGAUUCAGUAGAACAGUGUAUCCAAGGAUUAGUGAGCUUAAUGGUAGUGUCGCUGGAACCAAGGAUAUAUCGUUUUGUUGCAGGAAACUUGGUCGGUUUUCUUGUAAUAGCGAGGUUAAGCGACUGGUUAAUGGUGAUUCUGGUGAAAAUAGUACAAGUAAAGAAACGAGAAGAAUUUUUCUCUUAGGCUUCGACUUAGAUUACGAUUUCUGAGCAUGAGAUUUGGGAAAUUCGAUCUCAGAGCAUCAGUGGAAGAUUUUUGGUUGUUUUUGAGAAAGAAUAUCAAAAGAGUGAUCUUAUUUACUGGUGUGGCUGUUAUUUUUGGACUAUGCUAUAUGUUCUUGAGGUUAACAUCUGUUCCAACACCGUCCAUUGUUCCUUACUCCGACUUCGUAACGAAUCUCCGAGGUGGUUCUGUUUCAAAGGUUUUGCUCGAAGAAGGUUCUCCUAGAAUCUAUUAUAACAUUCAUGAGAAUGUUGAGGUUGUUAAAGAUUUACACAAGUCUGAGGCUUUAGAAGAACCCGCGACUGAAGUAGCUGCUAAGAUAGACGUUUGAAAGGUUCAAGUUUUGGCUCAUGUGUGGAAGUAUGUGACGAGGGAAAUAGAUUAUGAUGAGAAGUUGCUUCUUAGUUUGAUGAGGGAGAAAGAGAUUACUUUAACUCUCCCUUCUUUGUCUUCUUCUUCCUCUCAUCAAGCUGCUCAAAUGUUAUCACUUAUUUCCUCUUUUCAUCUCUCUCAAAAAAUAUGUCCUUAAAGUUUUAUAGGUUUCUUCUGCGAUUUAGGGCUUGAUGGCAAAAAAAAUCAAAGUAGGUUUUGUUUAGAUUAGUGAUGAAUCUUCUUGUAGUUAUUCAAUUUUGUGUUAGGGUGAAACUUAAACGUGAUCUGAUCAAGAUUUUAAGAAACAAGAUCUUUGCCUGAAGAUGUAUGAAAUUAUGAGAGAUUGCUCUGUUUAGUUUCCUUUAACUUAUAGUUUCUUCCAGAUGGUUUAGUUAUUACCAGUGGACAUAAGAAUCUGGUUUUGAUUAUCUGCUAUUCUAUUUUGAUGGUUUUACUUUUCCUGACUGAGAUCUUUUUGAUGUUUAGACUUUUACAAGUUAAUCAGAAGCUUGGCAUUAAAAAAGUUCAAGACUGAAUGCUGCAUCACCAGAUAUGGUUUGAAAACUCCAAAAGACUUAUAAGCACAAAGAAGAUGAGUAAUGGAGAGAGUGCUAAAAAAUGGAGAGAUUGUGACUGUGUUAUUAUCAACACCUUUGUUCUAACUCAUUUGUUUUACUUGCCAUUUCAAGUGUAAUAAAAUAAUGUGUUGAUAUGUAAUAGAACAAAAUGAGCUUUCGUAAAACUUUUGUAUAGUUAAAAGUUUUGUAUUCGAGGUUAACUCUUUUGCACAUUGGUAGAGAAAUUAUUGAUGUCUUAAAUGGAUAAUUCGUUGAUUAUAGGAUGAAAAGAAAAGUCUUUGUCAUCGCAAUCAAAAGAAACUAAGAGUUAGACUACUAAUCACUUAAUAAGAAUAUUUUUAUGUCUGAAUUUGUACCAGAAGGUUUCUUAAUUUUACAGAACCAUCUACAUCAGAAAUAUUAACGUCCUUCUCUUUUAGCUACGCAGGCGUUUAAUAGUGACCUGCAAAAACAUCCAAAAGGAUGAGACAACAUCCGUUUUCACAACCUAUUUCAUUCUCCUGAAUUUCUUAAUUGACAUUAUUAUCAAUUGCUAAUGAUAUUCUAAAACACAGCUUAAGAACAACAAAGACAGAGAUUUUACCUUUUCAUAAAACAACAACAAAGACAUGACUAGAAAAAGAAAGAGAAAAGGUAACUUACGUGUUUGAUACGCAACAUCAGGAGCAAGCAUAAGUGCAGUCUCAGGUAACAAGUUGGUAAUCCCAACACUCAACUUUUCUUUUUUCUUUUCCAGACACCUGUUAUCUCAGCUCUUUUCGAUCACAAAAGAUUAUGAAUUUUUCAGUUUUGGAGUAUGAAUUUUGAAGUAUCCCAAUACAAAAGAGUACGAAAUUUGGGAAAUUUUUAGUUGUUUAACACACAUCAUUUCAUUAAACAUCAAUCUAUAAAUAGUAAAAAUAUAUGUUUCGUUUUCUCCUUUAAGAUAUUAGUCUAUCUAAUUAUACAGUAUAUAACAUCAAAAUUUUGACAAUUUAUUUAACAAUAUUGUUAUAUAAUUCUAAUUUAAACACAUAAAACUGAAUCACACCCGCGCGGACGCGCGGGUCAAACACUAGUUGAAUUUUAAAAUUGUUUACUUUGUUUUUGUAAUUCAGUUUAUAUAAUUUGGCGUAAGUAACACGCCGUGAGUAAGGAUGAGACGAGUGUUACGAAAUCUCUUACUAGAUUUGAGAACUUUGAGAAGUCGAACAUGAUUUUUGAAACAAUAAUUCACAUAUAUAACAAUUCUGCUUAAUAAAAUUAGAGGCGAACAAGAGAAAUUAAUGUUUUCUUGGUCAUUAAUAAUUUCAUACUUUUCUAAGACAUAGUUUUCUAAUAAAAUGGGUCGGACCUCUCUGUUGACGAUUUUUUAAAGAGAUAAAACGGUUAAACCCCAAAAUUUCAGGAAGGAAAAAAUAUGAAAAAUGGAGAUCAGGCUCACCAUGUUGAUCUUCUUUGUAACUAUUAUCUUUAAUUGAAAGAAGAUAAAGAGAGAUGGAAGAAACUGGAGCAAAACCGACAAGGCGAGAUGGAAGAAGAUACAUAUAUCAAAGAUGAUCCUAUGGCCAGAGCUGAGGCCGAGGUUGUAAGCCAGCUCUAAGCCAUGAAGAUAACUCCCAAUGAAAGUAAGCUUUGUGGGAUUUCUCUCACGCUCCUUCGUCUUGUCGAAUUACGAUUCGAUCUUCGCAUGAGUGUGUAACACUAUUACCUCAUUAAGUUUGAGAUUAGUUUGUUUAAGUAGUAACCAUUUUAUUGUUAUACAUUUUUUGGAAAGUUAAAACAAAAAUCAAUGUUUUUAAACCGGAUGCUCUUCAUAUAAAAUGGGUCAUCAAUGAUAUUAAGAACCAUUUGCUUUUUGGAACAAAGAAGAUAAUCUAAAUUCUACUCAGAGAAUUUAAACCCGUCAAGUUUAGAUCCUGCUGGUUUAUCCAUAAACCAGAUCAGAUUCCCACUGCUUGGCUGGACCAUCCUAGCAGGCAGGGAAAGAGAGCUUUCUAGUGACGG